rnacentral:rRNA from 1 species
GCGCGAAAACUUUACAAUGCUGGCAACAGCGAUAAGGGAACCUCGAGUGCCAGGUUACAAAUCUGGCUGUCGAGAUGCCUAAAAAGCAUUUCAUAGCAAGGGCCGGGCAAGACCGGUGCCAGCCGCCGCGGUAACACCGGCGGCUCGAGUGGUAACCGCUAUUAUUGGGUCUAAAGGGUCUGUAGCCGGCCGGAUAAGUCUCUUGAGAAAUCUGGCAGCUUAACUGUCAGGCUUUCAGGAGAUACUGUCUGGCUCGAGGCCGGGAGGGGUGAGAGGUACUUCAGGGGUAGGGGUGAAAUCUUGUAAUCCUUGAAGGACCACCAGUGGCGAAGGCGUCUCACCAGAACGGACCUGACGGC